rnacentral:rRNA from 1 species
CGGGAGGACGUCUGCGGAACGAGCGGCGGACGGGUGAGUAACAAAUGGGCAACCUGCCUGUAAGACUGGGAUAACUCCGGGAAACCGGGGCUAAUACCGGAUAACUCAUCGGAUCGCAUGAUCCGAGGUUAAAAGAUGGCUUCUUGCUAUCACUUACAGAUGGGCCCGCGGCGCAUUAGCUAGUUGGUGAGGUAACGGCUCACCAAGGCCACGAUGCGUAGCCGACCUGAGAGGGUGAUCGGCCACACUGGGACUGAGACACGGCCCAGACUCCUACGGGAGGCAGCAGUAGGGAAUCAUCCGCAAUGGACGAAAGUCUGACGGUGCAACGCCGCGUGAGUGAGGAAGGCCUUCGGGUCGUAAAACUCUGUUGUUAGGGAAGAACAAGUUCCGUUCGAAUAGGGCGGAGCCUUGACGGUACCUAACCAGAAAGCCACGGCUAACUACGUGCCAGCAGCCGCGGUAAUACGUAGGUGGCAAGCGUUGUCCGGAAUUAUUGGGCGUAAAGCGCGCGCAGGCGGUUCCUUAAGUCUGAUGUGAAAGCCCACGGCUCAACCGUGGAGGGUCAUUGGAAACUGGGGAACUUGAAGACAGAAGAGGAGAGCGGAAUUCCACGUGUAGCGGUGAAAUGCGUAGAUAUGUGGAGGAACACCAUUGGCGAAGGCGGCUCUCUGGUCUGUGCUUGACACUUAUGCUCGAAA